rnacentral:misc_RNA from 1 species
UUUGACAUUACACAUUUUCUUUUGGCCGUAAGAACAUUUAAAGUAAAUGCAUGUGUUUAAAUUUGUAAUUUUUUUAACAAAUUGUAAUGUCAAAUGCCGCAAAUACCGGUAGAAAUGUGUCAAUACACUAUUAACAAGUUAAGUCUUCAUAGGGCAUUUAUCUUGUAUGUUCCAAAGGUGAGAGUUUUGUCUGCUGAGAUUUGUUCACUUGAAUGUUAAUUUAGGAUCAAUCAUUGUGUAAGAAUUUUUAGAUUUUGGUGAAUUUUUAUUUGAAUGUUACUUGUCAUCUAUUGCUUUUUUCUACAUAAGUUUGUUGCUUUGAACAAUAUUUUGACAGACGUUGUAUGCUAGUUUUUUUUAUGGGAUUGAAUGAACAAAGGUGUUGCCAGAAAGCUUUACACAUAAAUUUAAUUACUAGAUGUUAAAACUGUGAUAUAUAUACACCCAAAUAUUUUUAACUAACACAUCAUAAUGGUCAUUGAUAAUAAGUAACAUGUUUUUGUUUUCAUCUCUCAUUUUAAAGUGUUGAACAAUAAAAUGAAUUGAAAAAUGUCCAAUUUUAUUCAGUUAAAAUGAACUUUUUGGUGAUCCCAAAAAUCAUGGUUUUUUUUUUAAAACUACAUAUGUAUUAAAGGAUUUAAAUCAUCAGAGUUUAAAAUGGCUUUCCUUUAAAAUACUGUACGUGUUUCUUAAGAUAAUCUCUAUUAAUUUAUAUUGCGUCCAAGUGAAUUUUGCCUUCAAUGCAUUGACAUUGUUAUAAUAAAUUUAUAAAAACAUGAACCACUGUAUAAUCUAUAAGCAUGUGAUUUAUUUAUUUGAAUAAAAGCAUUAU